rnacentral:rRNA from 1 species
CCUACGGGUGGCAGCAGUGGGGAAUAUUGCACAAUGGGGGAAACCCUGAUGCAGCGACGCCGCGUGAGUGAAGAAGUAUCUCGGUACGUAAAGCUCUAUCAGCAGGGAAGAAAAUGACGGUACCUGACUAAGAAGCUCCGGCUAACUACGUGCCAGCAGCCGCGGUAAUAUGUAGGGGGCGAGCGUUAUCCGGAUGUACUGGGUGUAAAGGGGGCGUAGACGGCAGCACAAGUCUGGAGUGAAAUCCCGGGGCUUAACCCGGGAACUGCUUUGGAAACUGUGCGGCUGGAGUGCAGGAGGGGUUAGCGGAAUUCCAAGUGUAGCGGUGAAAUGCGUAGAUAUUAGGAGGAACACCGGUGGCGAAGGCGGCUUACUGGACUGUAACUGACGUUGAGGAUCGAAAGCGUGGGGAGCAAACAGGAUUAGAUACCCUUGUAGUC